rnacentral:lncRNA from 1 species
GAAAGACUAAAUCAAAGUAAUCCCUUAAAGAACAGAGGCUUUUUUCCAACAAUCAAGCUCCUUCAACACUUAAACUAAAUAGAUCUCAAAAUCCCUGGGCUUUUAAUGUCACCUCUCAGCAGGAUACCUUUACAUAUUUCAAAGGCCACUUGAUAGUCUCAUAGCCCAUUGAAAGAGGCUAUUUUUAUGCUAUCUUCCUGAUGGAUGUUGAAUCCUCCACAAGGCACUCAGUGGAGGUUAAUUUUUAUUUUUUUUUAUUUUUUUUAAGACUAGACACCAGCCUGCAGACUUUAAGAUAGGCUUCAGGCUAUAUAAUCUUUUCAGUAGAAGAGAAAAAGUUGUAUUAUUUGCAAAGAAGUGAUGGGUAACUGUAAUUCGUUCUUGACUAAAAUUAAAACCUUUCACCCUAUUAAUCAUUCUCUCAAGUACAUCCAUCACCACCCUUUAACAAGAAAGGAAAAGGGAUUGAGCUUCCCCUUUUCUAGGGCUUCCUAGAAGCAUUAAUCUAAACCUAGCUAUCCUGUCAUGUACAUCAGCUAGAUCAUCAAGGACUGGAAAAACCCUGAUCAACCAACACCAUCUUAUGCUAAAGCAGUUCCCAUUCCUAGUAUGGUCCAGGAAAUCAAAAUCAACAUGAUUGUCUUCUUAAAGCCCAUUUUUAAAAACACCUUCUGUUCCAAGAUUUCGUUAGCUAUGACUUGCAUUAGAAUUUCAUUGAACCGUAUCAAAAGCUCCUUGGGAAUGGGAAAUUAUGUACUAAGGAACUUUUCUUUUUUUCUUUUCUUUCUUUCUUUCUUUCUUUCUUUUUUUAAUUUUCAUUUCUUUUUAAUGAAAUGACAUUUCAUUCAAAGACUUAGGUGGUGUUUGUUUUUUUGGCUUUUUACUGAAAACCAUUUAGUUUUAGAAUUUAAGUUGUUUGUUUUUUACUUUUUCAUAACUUAUUAUAAACUUUUUACUAAAUAGAAAAAGCCAGAAUAUAUGGCUUUUUCUAAAUAGAAAAAAUAACACAAUAGUUUUUUUUACUUUUUAAUACUUAAUAGAAAUAAAAUACCAUAAAAACAAACAACCUAAUAUUUAAUACUAUUAAGUAUUAAGGUUCUAUUUAGAAUUAAGUAAAAAAACAAACGCCACCUUAGACUGUUUGUUUUUUUAACUUUUUGCUGAAAGCAAUUUACUUUCAAACUUUAAGUUGUUUGUUUUUCUACUUUUUCAUAACUUAUUAUAAAUUUUUGGCUGAAUAGAAAAAUCCAAAAUUUUUUACUUUUUCUAAAUAGAAAAAGUAACACAUUGAUUUUUCUUUAUUUUUUAAUGUUUAAUAGAAAUAAAAUAUUACAAAAACAAACAACCUAAUAUUUAACACUAUUAAAUACUAUUUAGUUUUAAGUUCUACUUAGGAUUAAGGGAAAAAAAAAAACAAACACCAACUUAGUUAGCUUUGGGGUCAGUUCAAGAGAUGGAGUGUCCUGGCAGAGAAUCAAGUUUUCCACGUUAUGGGUUAUUUGAUGAGAGCAAUGCCA